rnacentral:misc_RNA from 1 species
GAAAGUGGGACUCAUGUUAUAUCUGUCGGCGUACGGGAAAUACUAGAAUCUAUCAAGGAAGUUGUUGGAAAUCAUUCCGAUGCUGAUAUUUAUGUGACUCUUAAAGAAACCAACAUGGACCCUAAUGAAACUGCUCAGAAAUUGCUCAAUCAAGAACCAUGGGUAUAAAAGUUCUACUGCUCCAGAAAAUGGAAAUUAUUUAGAGCAUGAUGCACAUGAAAUGAGGAUCAACACACACAUCAAUCGUAACAUCCGAAGAGGGAGCUACAAUCGAACUG